rnacentral:rRNA from 1 species
CGAGUCUAUGGACUUCGGUCCAUGGCGGACGGCUCAGUAACACGUGGUUAACCUACCCUUAGGUGGGGGAUAACCUUGGGAAACUGAGGAUAAUACCCCAUAGGAAAAGAGGUUUGGAAUAAUCCUUUUCUGAAAGGACAUCCGCCUAAGGAUGGGACUGCGUCUGAUUAGGUAGUUGGUGGGGUAAUGGCCCACCAAGCCUACGAUCAGUACGGGCCUUGAGAGAGGGAGCCCGGAGAUGGGGACUGAGACACGGCCCCAGGCCCUACGGGGCGCAGCAGGCGCGAAACCUCCACAAUGCACGAAAGUGCGAUGGGGGAAUCCCAAGUGCCUAUGUAAAACAUAGGCUUUUCCCAAGUUUAAACAACUUGGGGAAUAAGGGCUGGGCAAGUCCGGUGCCAGCA